CCGUUCUUGUGUUAUUCGCUGAAUUCGUCUCCUCGUUCAGCGAUUGUCAAACAGAACGCACAGUAAACUUUAAAUCAGUUUACUCCACAUUGUUGAGCCUAUUAAAAUGCCAAGGCUGCUACAUAACUUAUCGCUGUUUACAUGC